rnacentral:rRNA from 1 species
UACGUAGGGUGCAAGCGUUGUCCGGAUUUAUUGGGCGUAAAGAGUUCGUAGGCGGUUAGUCACGUCGGAUGUGAAAACCCGGAGCUUAACUCCGGGCCUGCAUUCGAUACGGGCUGACUAGAGUGUUGUAGGGGAGACUGGAACUCCUGGUGUAGCGGUGAAAUGCGCAGAUAUCAGGAAGAACACCGGUGGCGAAGGCGGGUCUCUGGGCAACUACUGACGCUGAGGAGCGAAAGCGUGGGGAGCAAACAGG